UUGGCAAAAAAUAAGCUUUUCCCACUCUUUAAUGUAUUAGAUCAAAGCUUGCUCAUUUUAACUACUCCCUUGAUCUUGCAUUUUGUCCUUUUGGCUUCAGAGGCAGAUUACAGGCACAGCUCCUGCUCUGGCUUUGAACUUCACCCCGACGCCUCUUGACCGGGAUGACAGCGCUCGUACAGAGGUGCCCUUGGAGCAGCCCCCCCUUUCCUCAGGGCGAUACCCAGCAGUGAGCUGCUGUGGCUGGGAGCCUGCAGCUCUGUACACCACGUCAGGAGGUGCAGGAGCAGGCAAUGGGCCGGCACUGCUGAGAGCUCGCCAGGGCUGUGCUCACAGCUCUCACUGCAGCACCAGCAGCAGCAGCUCCAUGGUCGGGAGCUUGUGCAAGAGGCACCGCAGCCAGCUGCAGAGCCACCGGCAGGCCGAACACUGCAAAGUGCACCACGGAGACUGAAAACAAAGUAUGAUUGUUGUCCUCGUCUUCCAAAGGAUGCCCUUGUCAGCGUGGGCACCUUGGAUGGUUUCUGAGGCAGGCUUGACUCAGCACAUUUGUCAACAUUCUGUGACUCCGAAUCCAUCUUUUUUUCCCCAGAGAGGAGCUGGAGAGGCCAGCCCUCCACCUGCGGGGCCGCUGCCAUCCUCCUGCCCCACACGUCCCUGGAGCUGAGGACCAUUCACUGCCUGGCUCCGUGCUGCUCGCCUGGCGCUGCAGCCACGCCACAUGAGGACAGGCGUCCUCCUCCACCAGCACCUUUCCCACUGCUGGAGUCGGCACACGUUUCUUUCCUGACAUCAGAUCUCUUAUUUAAUCAUGCAAUAUAUUUGCCAGUGUACCAUUAAGCGUAGAUUUGUAUAUCCUUAAAUUAAAUUUAGCUACUAGGGCUGAGUUAUUUCCUUCCUGAUUACCCAGUUGUAUGAAACAAUAGCCAUUAAUCUCUCUCCCUUUUGCUGGUGUGCUACUUUUAGAAUUUACCAUGCUGAGGGCUUGGAAGAACAGAGCAAACACUUUCAUUCUCCUGUAAAAGGAUUUCAACAUGCCCUUCUUCUGCUUUGUACUCAACCUCUGCAGACUAAAAAGCCCCUUUUCUACAGUUAAUUUCUCCUUCACUCUUAUCUGCCACUCUGACUUUCAUGUGAGUUGAUUGAAAAUAUGGUGCUAAAUGCAGCUCUUUCAUUUGAACUAAUGCAAAUUACGCCAAGUCCCAGUGUGUGAAUAUAAACUUGUUACCAUCGUGAAGGAGGGGGCAUGAUCGUGGUGGGGUGAUACUGCUGCAGAGGGGAGAGAAAAUAGGAAAGGCUGUUAUCCAGUGGAGGUUGUUGGAAGCGGAUUUUCUUUUCCCAGGUCUGCUAGUGGGGAAAAAUAACUGUGUAAAUUAAGAAAACAGAGACUAGUUUGGGUGGCAGAGCUGUCUGUUCUGCAGCCUGCAGAUGGGA
rnacentral:lncRNA from 1 species